UCAGAUGUGAGAACUCAGCAGCG
rnacentral:miRNA from 1 species